UUUCCGUAGGUGAACCUGCGGAAGGAUCAUUAUUGUAUAACCGAGGUGCGAGGGCUGUCGCUGACCCGAAAGGUCGUGCACGCCCGAGUGCCCUCACACACAUCCAUCUCACCCCUAUGUGCACCACCGCGUGGGUCCCCCUUUGGCUUGUUCGGAGGGGGGCUUACGUUUUCACACAAACUUUGUAUGCAGUGUAGAAUGUAUUUUUUGUUUUUGCGAUCACGCAAUCAAUACAACUUUCAACAACGGAUCUCUUGGCUCUCGCAUCGGAAGAACGCAGC
rnacentral:misc_RNA from 1 species